rnacentral:rRNA from 1 species
UUAAGAUACUAAGAGCAUACGGUGGAUGCCUUGGCGAUAUCUGCCGACGAAGGACGUGACAAGCUGCGAAAAGCUGCGGAGAGAUGCAAAUAAUCGGCGACCCGCAGACAUCCGAAUGGAGAAAUCCGGCUGUGAUGAUACACAGCCAUCCAUGCCCAAGAGCAUGAGAAGGGAACCGGGCGAACUGAAACAUCUAAGUAACCCGAGGAAAAGAAAUCAAACGAGAUACCCCAAGUAGCGGCGAGCGAACAGGGAAGAAGCCCAAACCGGUGAAGGAAACUUUACCGGGGUUGAGGACCAUCAGACCCGCGAAGAACCUUAGCCGAAACUGUUGGGAAACAGUGCCGAAGACAGUGAAAGCCUGGUAGGCGAAAAAGAGAAACGCGGAGAUGGCACCAGAGUACCGCGGGACACGAGAAAUCCCGUGGGAAGCAGGGGGGACCACCCUCCAAGGCAAAACACAGAUAUCGACCGAUAGCGCAUAGUACCAUGAGGGAAAGGUGAAAAGCACCCCGGGAGGGGAAUGAAAGAGAACCUGAAACCGUAUGUUUACAAGCAGUCGGAGACCGCUUAAUAAUAAGGUCGACGGCGUGCCUAUUGAAGAAUGAACCGGCGAGUUACGAAGCCUGGCAAGGUUAAGCAGGAAAUGCGGAGCCGAAGCGAAAGCGAGUCUUAAGAGGGCGCAAGUCAGGAAGCGUAGACCCGAAACCACAGUGAUCUACCCAUGUCCAGGUUGAAACACAGGUAAAAAUGUGUGGAGGACCGAACCUAUAUCCGUUGAAAAGGGUUAGGAUGAGGUGUGGGUAGGGGUGAAAUUCCAAUCGAACGUGGAGAUAGCUGGUUCUCCCCGAAAUAGCUUUAGGGCUAGCCUCAGGGAAAAGAUUGCAGGCGGUAGAGCACUGAUCAGGAGAGGGACCUACCCGGUUACCAAACCCAGUCAAACUCCGAAUGGCUGCAAUCAUACCUGGGAGUCAGACUGCGACUAAUAAGGGCCGCAGUCAAAAGGGAAACAGCCCAGACCAUCAGCUAAGGUCCCCAAUGCCGUGCUAAGUGGCGAAGGAUGUGGCAUUUCAUAAACAACCAGGAUGUUGGCUCAGAAGCAGCCACCAUUUAAAGAGUGCGUAAUAGCUCACUGGUCGAGAGACGCUGCGCCGAAAAUGUCCGGGGCUCAAGCACGGAACCGAAGCUAUGGCAUGAUAGCAAUAUCAUGGGUAGGGGAGCGUUCUUAUAAGGAAGAAGCAUGACCGGAAGGACAUGUGGACAAAUAAGAAGUGAGAAUGCCGGUAUGAGUAUCGAAAAGAAAGGUGAGAAUCCUUUCCACCGAAAGCCCGAGGGUUCCUGAGCAACGAUCGUCGACUCAGGGUAAGUCGGGACCUAAGCCGAGGCGAGAAGCGUAGGCGAUGGACAACAGGUUGAAAUUCCUGUACCGGAUCAAGUCGAUCGAGCGAAGGAGCGACGCAGGAGGGCACAUGAUCGCGCGGCUGGAAGAGCGCGUCCAAGUGCGUAUGUUGCAGCAGAGGAAAACCCCUGCAGCUAAAAGCAGAGACAUGAUGGGGAGUUAAAGGAAACUUUGACGAACUCAUGGAUCCCACACUGCCAAGAAAAACUUCUAGCGAGACAAGAUCCGCCCGUACCGUAAACCGACACAGGUAGGCGGGGAGAGAAUCCUAAGGUGCGCGGGAAAACCCUCGUUAAGGAACUCGGCAAAUUGCAUCCGUAACCUAGGGAGAAGGAUGGCCCCCGGUCAGUGAAGAGCAGAAACGCUCAGAGCUAAAAGGGGCGGCAGAAAAGAGGCCCAAGCAACUGUUUACCAAAAACACAGGUGCCUGCGAAAGCGAAAGCUGAAGUAUAGGUGCUGACGCCUGCCCGGUGCCGGAAGGUUAAGGAGAGAAGUUAGCGAAAGCGAAGCAUCGAACUGAAGCCCCGGUGAACGGCGGCCGUAACUAUAACGGUCCUAAGGUAGCGAAAUUCCUUGUCGGGUAAGUUCCGACCCGCAUGAAAGGCGUAAUGAUUUGGGCACUGUCUCAACGAGGGGCCCGGUGAAAUUGAAAUACCUGUGAAGAUGCAGGUUACCCGCGACUGGACAGAAAGACCCCAUGGAGCUUCACUGCAGCUUGAGAUUGAAUCCCGGUGACAGAUGCACAGGAUAGGUGGGAGGCGUCGAAGCAUUGCCCUAGGGCGGUGCGGAGCCGAUGUUGGGAUACCACCCUUCUGUUGCUGAGAUUCUAACGCGAGGAGUAACGACCCUGCGGACCCUCUCAGGCAGGCGGUUUGACUGGGGCGGUCGCCUCCGAAAGAGUAACGGAGGCGCC